UACGGAGGGUGCGAGCGUUGUCCGGAAUCACUGGGCGUAAAGGGCGCGUAGGCGGCGCGGGGAGUCAACGGUGAAAGCUCGGCGCUCAACGCCGAGUCGGCCGUCGAUACUCCCGUGCUUGAGCACUGUAGAGGCAGGUGGAAUUCCGGGUGUAGCGGUGGAAUGCGUAGAGAUCCGGAAGAACACCGGUGGCGAAGGCGGCCUGCUGGGCAGUAGCUGACGCUGAGGCGCGACAGCGUGGGGAGCA
rnacentral:rRNA from 1 species